UACGGGGGGGGCAAGCGUUGUUCGGAAUUACUGGGCGUAAAGGGCUCGUAGGCGGCCAACUAAGUCAGACGUGAAAUCCCUCGGCUUAACCGGGGAACUGCGUCUGAUACUGGAUGGCUUGAGUUCGGGAGAGGGAUGUGGAAUUCCAGGUGUAGCGGUGAAAUGCGUAGAUAUCUGGAGGAACACCGGUGGCGAAGGCGGCAUCCUGGACCAAUAUUGACGCUGAGGAGCGAAAGCCAGGGGAGCAAACGGG
rnacentral:rRNA from 1 species